AACGAACGCUGGCGGCAGGCUUAACACAUGCAAGUCGAACGCCCCGCAAGGGGAGUGGCAGACGGGUGAGUAACGCGUGGGAAUCUACCCAGUUCUACGGAAUAACCCAGGGAAACUUGGACUAAUACCGUAUACGCCCUACGGGGGAAAGAUUUAUCGCCGAUAGAUGAGCCCGCGUCUGAUUAGCUAGUUGGUGAGGU
rnacentral:rRNA from 1 species